rnacentral:rRNA from 1 species
ACCGACACAGGUGGUCAGGUAGAGAAUACUAAGGCGAUCGAGAUAACUAUGGUUAAGGAACUCGGCAAAAUGCCCCCGUAACUUCGGGAGAAGGGGGGCCAUCUACUGUCAACGCACUAGCUGCGGGUAGCGGUGGGUGGCCGCAGAGACCAGUGAGAAGCGACUGUUUACUAAAAACACAGGUCCGUGCGAAGUCGUAAGACGAUGUAUACGGACUGACGCCUGCCCGGUGCUGGAAGGUUAAGAGGACCGGUUAGCCAGUAAUGGCGAAGCUGAGAAUUUAAGCCCCAGUAAACGGCGGUGGUAACUAUAACCAUCCUAAGGUAGCGAAAUUCCUUGUCGGGUAAGUUCCGACCUGCACGAAUGGCGUAACGACUUCUCAGCUGUCUCAACCAUAGACUCGGCGAAAUUGCAUUACGAGUAAAGAUGCUCGUUACGCGCGGCAGGACGAAAAGACCCCGGGACCUUCACUACAGCUUGGUAUUGGUGUUCGGUUCGGUUUGUGUAGGAUAGGUGGGAGACUGUGAAGCGGUGACGCCAGUUACUGUGGAGUCGUUGUUAAAUACCACUCUGAUCGUAUUGGAUACCUCAACCUCGGACCAUGAUCUGGUUCAGGGACAGUGCCUGGUGGGUAGUUUAACUGGGGCGGUUGCCUCCUAAAAUGUAACGGAGGCGCCCAAAGGUUCCCUCAGCCUGGUUGGCAAUCAGGUGUCGAGUGCAAGUGCACAAGGGAGCUUGACUGUGAGACUGACAAGUCGAGCAGGGACGAAAGUCGGGACUAGUGAUCCGGCACCGGCAAGUGGAAGCGGUGUCGCUCAACGGAUAAAAGGUACCUCGGGGAUAACAGGCUGAUCUUGCCCAAGAGUCCAUAUCGACGGCAUGGUUUGGCACCUCGAUGUCGGCUCGUCGCAUCCUGGGGCUGGAGUAGGUCCCAAGGGUUGGGCUGUUCGCCCAUUAAAGCGGUACGCGAGCUGGGUUUAGAACGUCGUGAGACAGUUCGGUCCCUAUCCGUCGCGGGCGUAGGAAAUUUGAGAGGAUCUGCUCCUAGUACGAGAGGACCAGAGUGGACUUACCGCUGGUGUACCAGUUGUCUUGCCAAAGGCAUCGCUGGGUAGCUAUGUAGGGAAGGGAUAAACGCUGAAAGCAUCUAAGUGUGAAACCCACCUCAAGAUGAGAUUUCCCAUGAUUUUAUAUCAGUAAGAGCCCUGAGAGAUGAUCAGGUAGAUAGGUUAGAAGUGGAAGUGUGGCGACACAUGUAGCGGACUAAUACUAAUAGCUCGAGGACUUAUCCAA